rfam:Tupaia chinensis contig235733, whole genome shotgun sequence.
UUGUGUAGUGCUCCACUCCAAAGGGUACCAUUCAGUUAUUCUAAAAUAUGAUUGGCACCCUUUUGAGUGUAGUAAUUCACAA